rnacentral:rRNA from 1 species
GACGAACGCUGGCGGCGUGCUUAACACAUGCAAGUCGAACGGCGCGGCGAACGGGUGAAUAAGGCGUGAGUAACUGCCCCCCUCUCUGGGCUGCCAGUUGAAAACGGCUGCUAGUACCGGAUAGUGUGGGAUGGCUCGCGUCCUAUCAGCUUAUUGGUGGGGUAGUGUCCUACCAAGGCGACGACUGGUAGCCGGCCUGAGAGGGCGACCGGCCACAGUGGGCUGAGAGACGGAGCAAACGGCUACGGGAGGCAGCAGUGGGGAAUAUUGCACAAUGGGGGAACCCCUGAUGCAGCAACGCCGCGUGUGGGAUGACGGCUUUCGGGUUGUAAACCGCUUUCAGCCAUGACGCGGUAGUGGCAGAAGAAGCACCGGCUAACUACGUGCCAGCCGCCGCGGUAAUAC